UCCGUAGGUGAACCUGCGGAAGGAUCAUUAUCGUAGGGCUUCGGCCCUGUCGAGAUAGAACCCUUGCCUUUUUGAGUACCUUUCGUUUCCUCGGCAGGCUCGCCUGCCAAUGGGGACCACAAAAACACUUUGCAGUACCUGUAACAGUCUGAACAAACAAACAAAAAUUAAAACUUUCAACAACGGAUCUCUUGGUUCUGGCAUCGAUGAAGAACGCAGCGAAAUGCGAUAAGUAGUGUGAAUUGCAGAAUUCAGUGAAUCAUCGAAUCUUUGAACGCACAUUGCGCCCUUUGGUAUUCCUUAGGGCAUGCCUGUUCGAGCGUCAUUUAAACCUUCAAGCUAAGCUUGGUGUUGGGUGACUGUCCGCCUCACGGCGGACUCGCCUCAAAAUUAUUGGCGGCCGGUACAUUGGCUUCGAGCGCAGCAGAAAACGCGAAACUCGGGCCCGCUCGUAUUGGCUCCCAGAAGCUAUCUUCACAAAUUUUGACCUCGGAUCAGGUAGGGAUACCCGCUGAACUUAAGCAUAUCAAAUAAGCGGAGGAAGUCGACUGCCAAGGGCACACAGGGGGGGGAUA
rnacentral:rRNA from 1 species